rnacentral:rRNA from 1 species
AUUGAACGCUGGCGGCAGGCCUAACACAUGCAAGUCGAGCGGAUGACGGGAGCUUGCUCCUUGAUUCAGCGGCGGACGGGUGAGUAAUGCCUAGGAAUCUGCCUGGUAGUGGGGGACAACGUUUCGAAAGGAACGCUAAUACCGCAUACGUCCUACGGGAGAAAGCAGGGGACCUUCGGGCCUUGCGCUAUCAGAUGAGCCUAGGUCGGAUUAGCUAGUAGGUGAGGUAAUGGCUCACCUAGGCGACGAUCCGUAACUGGUCUGAGAGGAUGAGCAGUACACCUGGAAAUAGGACACGGGCCAGACUCCUACGGGAGGCAGCAGUGGGGAAUAUUGGACAAUGGGCGAAAGCCUGAUCCAGCCAUGCCGCGUGUGUGAAGAAGGUCUUCGGAUUGUAAAGCACUUUAAGUUGGGAGGAAGGGCAGUAAGCUAAUACCUUGCUGUUUUGACGUUGCCGACAGAAUAAGCACCGGCUAACUCUGUGCCAGCCGCCGCCGCGGUA